ACCGGCCAAAUUUUGCUUAAAAUAUGCGAUCGGCAAUCAGCUGGUUUUUGGUCUUUUUUCCAGAAGUGCACUCGCGUGCACAGACUACAUUGUAAUCAUUCACUGUCAUCUGUGUGCAGGACACGGGCAGCCGUUCAGCACUGGAAAUGCCGAGCUACAUGUCUGAGACACAGAUAGCAGGAAGCGAUCAGCCGUUGGUGUACUGCAGCACAAAUAAGAGCCUUUCCUGUGCACUGAAGCUGCGCGAGCAUAUACUGUACCUGUCCGUGCCCUGUGAAGGGAUGUUCAGCUCAACCUCUCGAGUGUUGGAUGAGAAACGAAACGGACUAAACUGCUAGCACUCUACGUGUACGAGUACUUGUUACAUGUUGGAGCCCAGAAGUCGGCACAGACCUUCCUGUCAGAGAUAAGAUGGGAGAAGAACAUAACAUUAGGAGAACCUCCAGGAUUCUUACAUUCAUGGUGGUGUGUAUUCUGGGAUUUAUAUUGUGCGGCACCUGAAAGGAGAGAAACCUGUGAGCAUUCCAGCGAAGCAAAGGCAUUCCACGACUAUAGUGCAGCAGCAGCUCCGAGUCCUGUCCUUGGAAACAUGCCCCCAGGAGAGGGGAUGCCGGUCGGCCCCGUUCCUCCGGGCUUCUUUCAGGUACACACACAUGCAUAUGCUGCAUAGC